rnacentral:rRNA from 1 species
CUACGUGCCAGCAGCCGCGGUAAUACGUAGGUGGCAAGCGUUGUCCGGAAUUAUUGGGCGUAAAGCGCGCGCAGGCGGAUUGGUCAGUCUGUCUUAAAAGUUCGGGGCUUAACCCCGUGAUGGGAUGGAAACUGCCAAUCUAGAGUAUCGGAGAGGAAAGUGGAAUUCCUAGUGUAGCGGUGAAAUGCGUAGAUAUUAGGAAGAACACCAGUGGCGAAGGCGACUUUCUGGACGAAAACUGACGCUGAGGCGCGAAAGCCAGGGGAGCGAACGGGAUUAGAUACCCCGGUAGUCCACGCUGUAAACGAUGUCGAUUUGGGGGUUGAGCUUUGAGCUUGGCGCCCGUAGCUAACGUGAUAAAUCGACCGCCUGGGGAGUACGGCCGCAAGGUUAAAACUCAAAUGAAUUGACGGGGGCCCGCACAAGCGGUGGAGCAUGUGGUUUAAUUCGAUGCAACGCGAAGAACCUUACCUACUCUUGACAUCCCUCUGACCGCUCUAGAGAUAGAGUUUUC